GAAAUAGCUCAGUGGAACAGCACAUGCUUAGCAUGCAUGAGGUCCUGGGUUCAAUUCCCAGUACUUUCA
rnacentral:tRNA from 1 species